CCUACGGGUGGCUGCAGUAGGGAAUCUUCGGCAAUGGGGGCAACCCUGACCGAGCAACGCCGCGUGAGUGAAGAAGGUUUUCGGAUCGUAAAACUCUGUUGUUAGAGAAGAACGUUAAGUAGAGUGGAAAAUUACUUAAGUGACGGUAUCUAACCAGAAAGGGACGGCUAACUACGUGCCAGCAGCCGCGGUAAUACGUAGGUCCCAAGCGUUGUCCGGAUUUAUUGGGCGUAAAGCGAGCGCAGGUGGUUUCUUAAGUCUGAUGUAAAAGGCAGUGGCUCAACCAUUGUGUGCAUUGGAAACUGGGAGACUUGAGUGCAGGAGAGGAGAGUGGAAUUCCAUGUGUAGCGGUGAAAUGCGUAGAUAUAUGGAGGAACACCGGAGGCGAAAGCGGCUCUCUGGCCUGUAACUGACACUGAGGCUCGAAAGCGUGGGGAGCAAACAGGAUUAGAUACCCUUGUAGUC
rnacentral:rRNA from 1 species